rnacentral:rRNA from 1 species
UACGGGGGGGGCAAGCGUUGUUCGGAAUUACUGGGCGUAAAGGGCUCGUAGGUGGCCAACUAAGUCGGACGUGAAAUCCCUCAGCUUAACUGGGGAACUGCGUCCGAUACUGGAUGGCUCGAGUUUGGGAGAGGGAUGCGGAAUUCCAGGUGUAGCGGUGAAAUGCGCAGAUAUCGGGAGGAACACCGGUGGCGAAGGCGGUUCUCUGGGCCUUACCUGACGCUGAGGAGCGAAAGCGUGGGGAGCGAACAGG